GGUCCCGUAGCUCAAUGGUAGAGCACCAGCCUUUUAAGCUGUGGGUUGAAGGUUCGAGCCCUUCCGGGAUCA
rnacentral:tRNA from 1 species